AUGCUCCUAUGUUGUGUUAAGUGUUGGCAGAUAUUCUGGACCCCGCCCUAGCGGUCCGGAGCUUGGACCCCGAACUUCCCCUCCCCAUACGAAGUCCGGGGUUUUUUUUAUCCCCCAA
rnacentral:sRNA from 1 species